AUGACUGAAGCUCUUAAUGAUAAGUAUCUUAGCCUACCAGCACACGUGGGUUUGGAUAAAACUUAUACUUUUCAGCAUUUGAUUGAUCGCGUAUGGCAAAGAGUUAAUGGCUGGAAAGAGAGACAACUCUCAACAGGUGGAAAAGAAGUGCUCCUUAAAGAAGUUUCUCAGUAUAUACCAUCAUAUGCAAUGUUAGUCUUUAAAAUUCCCAAACAAACUUGCAAGGGUAUAAUUGAUGUGAUGUCGCAUUAUUGGUGGGGAGAUGGUGAUGUUUAGAGGAGAACUCGUUGGUUUGCACGGUGGAAAAUGUGUGUACUAAAACAACAAGGAGGUGUGAGUUUUAGAGAUAUCCAUUGUUUCAAUCUUGGUCUUUUGGCUAAACAGGCUCGGAGGCUUACUGAGAACCCAGACUCCAUGUGUGCAUGUACUUUGACAACGAAGUAUUUUCCGGAUGGUGAUCUAUUUGUGGGUGUCUAA
rnacentral:rRNA from 1 species